rnacentral:rRNA from 1 species
UUUGAUCCUGGCUCAGGACGAACGCUGGCGGUGGCUUAAUACUUGCAAGUCGAGCGGACAGAUGGGAGCUUGCUCCCUGAAGUCAGCGGCGGACGGGUGAGUAACACGUGGACAACCUGCCUGUAAGACUGGGAUAACUCCGGGAAACCGGAGCUAAUACCGGAUAAUUUUUUUUCUCCCAUGAGGAAAAGUUGAAAGAUGGUUUCCGCUAUCACUUACAGAUGGGCCCGCGGCGCUUUAGCUAGUUGGUGAGGUAACGGCUCACCAAGGCAACGAUGCGUAGCCGACCUGAGAGGGUGAUCGGCCACACUGGGACUGAGACACGGCCCAGACUCCUACGGGAGGCAGCAGUAGGGAAUCUUCCGCAAUGGACGAAAGUCUGACGGAGCAACCCCCCCCUAGUGAAGAAGGUCUUCUGAUCGUAAAACUCUGUUUGUAGGGAAGAACAAGUACGAGAGUAACUGCUCGUACCUUGUCGGUACCUAACCAGAAAGCCACGGCUAACUACGUGCCAGCAGCCGCGGUA